rnacentral:rRNA from 1 species
AGUGAACGUUGGCGGCGUGGAUUAGGCAUGCAAGUCGAGCGAUCGUAGCAAUACGGGAGCGGCAAACGGGGUAGGAAUACAUCGGAACGUACCCUUUGGUCAGGGAUAGUGUUGGGAAACUGACGGUAAUACCUGAUAAAGUCGAGAGACCAAAGGUUUACUGCCGGAGGAGCGGCCGAUGCGAUAUUAGGUAGUUGGUGGGGUAAUGGCCUACCAAGCCUGAGAUGUCUAGGGGGUGUGAGAGCAUGGGCCCCCACCACUGGGACGUGAGAAACUAGCCCACGACACCUACCGGGUGGGCUGCAGUCGAGGAUCUUCGUCAAUAGGGCGGAAAGACCUGAACGAAGCGACGCCGCGUGCGGGAGUGAAGG